rnacentral:lncRNA from 1 species
AAGUUAUGCAUUAUUGUUGAGUAUAGAUCGGUAAGAGUAUGAGGUAUGCUGGUUCCUCCUAACUAAUAGCAUGCCCCGAAUUUUGUGGACCAUGAUCGUUUUUGUUGCAAAUUGAUUUGCUGAUCCAUUUUCUUGGUGAGUGUAUGGAUACUAAUGCCUACACGCAUGAGAGGAGAUAUCAAUCCCAUUUCCAUGACUUAGAAUGACCUAAUAGUUUGAGCUUAUAGGUGUUACACAGUGUGUCUCUGAUAGUCUGACAUAAUAUGGUCUUAAUUGGAAUUAUUGCAGCUAACAUACUCCAGCAAUGCGUCUCUGAUUAAAUGUUUGCAGAAGUAAGAAUUUUUAUGCCAUUUUGAGAUGCUAAGGUUUAUAGUUAAUUGCUCUUUGUGGGUUAAAUUGUAUUCUUCAUACAAUAGGCCUAAGAGAGACUUUGGGUCGUCGCUGUACUGCCAAAAACAUAGAGUCAGAUAAAUUUACUUCUAUUACUUGGUCCGGAUUGUAAAAAUAUUGGGCCUGUUUAGCUAAGCUUCUCUUUUCAGCUUCUUGUCAUGUAAAUCUGAAUCAGAUUAUUCGUAC